GACUGAUAUGCCAACUCUGAGGAAGUGGUGGUGUAUAUUACUAGCGGACAAUUUCAAACUUGGGUCCAUGGGAAGAGUUUGCCCAUUGGACAGAUAAGGCAACAGCAUCACUCCAGGGUGAAGUGCCACCAGUCUAUCAGUUGAAGAAGUGAAAUUUGGAUAUAAUUGCUGAGGAAGAGGUGCAACCACAGCUCCUUCAAGUUAGUGGUGGCCCACUGCAAGAAGAUAUGGCAGGAAAAAAAGUGAACAGUUUUGGUAAAAGGAUUGUGCAAGACAGCACAAAAGCCUCAGACAGGGUUAGGGAAAAAAAUCAAUGCAGUAGGAGUUCCCAAGCAUCCUGCCGAUGGAAGAGGAUGAGCUCGGACGACAAUGUCUUGGAGCCAUUCAAGUUGUUUCAACCAUCUGGAAGACGGAUUUACCUUUUCCAAGGAGAUUGUUGACUAAAGAAAAUAUCUGGUAUUCUCUCAACAAUAAUAA